CAUGAACUCUGAUACCUGGCGCAUCCCUACUUCAUUAUCUUAACCCAUUGAUUCAGUGACGAGGGUGAUACACGGGAACGUGUGUUGAUUACAGUGCAGGGAAGAAUAGAGAAGAAAGAACAGUAGGCUGUGCUAGAUAUACGAACACAGACCGAGGCGGCUAUAAUUAGAUUUAUGUGACGUGCGGCUUGUUUUCUUAAUCUUGAUCUGCUCGACACGUGUCAAAAUGGCCCGCCUACCACAGGAGCCUGGCUGCUUAUCCGUGAGGCUGUGUAUUAGUAACACUUCCAUUCACUUAUUGGCCCUCACUAAACACAUAGCAUGAUUAAUGAUACAGUUUCUUAGUAAAAGCGCGUCUAUAAAUGUAUUGAAGCAUUGCUAACUUGGAGAACCACCUGUUUUCUUUACAGGUGAAUGGUCAUUAUGCAUACUCAGUCACUCAGAUUUUGUGGGCCGCGGGAAGGCAACUGAACGGGGAAGCGUGAUGUUUAGCGUGCUGGACAUGUGGGCUGGUUGCUACCUUCUCAAAAAAAUAUUUACUUUCGUCUUACUUUUAAUAUUUAUAUCAUGAUGAUGCUCAUUCUUGGUAACAAAUUCGGCCAGGAUGACAUGACAGGACUGUAACUUCCUUGUACCAGGCCACACGGCGCCAGUCACCCGAGAAAAGUACUUGUCAGCAAUACGACUCCAUUAUAUUUACUGAUUUAGUCUUCGCUUUCCCUUUUUUUCGUCUCUCUGGCAUAUGUAACUCCUAUGACAAUAUGCAAAAAGUUAAAUAGACAGUAAAUUCAUAAAGGUAACCAGCUAAUAAGAUAACACUAGUUAGCCGUUUACCAUGACAAAGUCCAUGUGAGGAUAUGCUUAUAUUUGACUGUUUCAAUAUAAAAAUUGUAAUAGAAUAUAUCAUGAUCAAUUCAAGUAAGAUAUUUCAAUUGUCAUCAUAACCUUAAUGUAAUACGUUCAGUGAAGGACUACUUUCUUCAGCGGAGGACGUCCUGGUGCUGCUGGUCAAGGGAGGAUCAGCCCGAUCAGUUGCCUGGUGUGUAAAGUGUGCCCCGUUUGUCUCCGCAAAAAAAAAAAAAAAAAAAAAAAAACGCUUGAUUUAGCCUGACGGAAAGUGAAUAUAUCGCAUCAUUAACCCUCUAAUGCUAAGACUAAGUGUUGGUGGGACUGAGACAUGUGAAGGAAUUAAUGGAACGCAGCAUACCUACCGUCAAGGUUAGAAGGGAGGAAGGAGGGAAGUCUUAUUGCGCUUCCAUCACAGACACUGAUGGUAAGUGUGUGCAAACGCGGAUCAGGCAUCGCAACACUCCUCGACAGCAGAGGACUCACUCAAGUGAACCCUCAGUGUAUUAAUGUGACCUUGUAACCUGCACGACCACCCAUCACCAUCACCACCAGGACUCCUGCCAUGGCUCCCCUGUCCUGAGCGGUCACUACCACCACGACUCUCAGACGUCAAUAUUCAGCGGAGGACUACGGUCCUCAAUCUCAUUAUGGUCAUCAAAGAAAGCUGUUAGCGCGGUGCCUUGAGGGAGCAUGGCGGAGCAGCGCUCUUCAACUCACAACCUGUCGGACGCCCAGACACGGUGCUCGAGGUUCGUAGGGUGUCAGGAUCUGUGAAGAGCUCUCAGUCUGGCAUUCAGCGGCAUCCAUUCUGAGUAGGAUUUUGAUUUCCGUAUCCAUAAAUACUUUCAUGACUAUUUUCAAAGUUUUAGGAGAUGAUUAGUCGGGGUCUCACAGGUGUUAUUCCCAUUGGUGUGAUGAAUAUUUGUUGGUUGUCGUUUAGAGCCUUGAAAACACUCUUGAAUAUCCAAGUGAGUAAUUGUGUA